CCAAGCAAUAGCAGCUGCUCAGGCUGUUGCUUCAUUUCAAACAUUUGUUGUUUGAUGCAUCUGUCACUUCUUCUGCUCACUCUGUGGAGAGAAAGGAUCACUGCUCUUUUGUUAUGCUCGAAUUCGGGACCCCCAAAGACCACCACAGACCCAAGAUCAUGUAAGCAGCAAAGAGGUGUUUAUUGCGAGCUAGCUCCGUCCUCCGCACGCACACAGCAACUGGUGACGCUGAGAGGCCCCGAGCCCAAGUGGUGUAAUACAGAACAGGCAGCAAUGUGAGCCGAGAAUAAAGACUGAGAAUCUCAUCUUACUGAGUCUACCCAUAAUGCUUUGUACUUUUUUCUUUCCACCCAAUGAGCCACCUGAAAAACCUCAGCUUUCUUUUGAUGCCAGAUCUAUCCAUUGAGGGCACUCCCAGCUCUUCAACUUCAAAAGAAACAGAUAAUCUCAGGUGAAAAACAUUGAGAGUAAUGUAUAUGGAAGGAAUCAAGGUGCCUGAAACCAACCCUAAAUGAAAGAUGGACUAAAUCUCACACACCCUACCGUUUGGAACUUCAGUCACUAUAGCGGUUGGAGAGGAAGAUCAAGGAACUCACUUUGGCUCCUACAGGUCUCAUCUCAGAGGGGCAUGCCCGUGCUUCUCAUUGACUUUUGGUUUUGUUGGAAUCAUUUUGAGAUACUAAGAAGAAAUUGAUGGGAUAGAUUGAGGAACCACAGGAAUACUUGGAGUUUUAAAAGCCCAGGUAGCAAAAUGAAGAGUUGAGGGUCUCCCCAAGAUGUUGAGGCUGGCUUUGAACUUACAAUCCUCCUGCCUCUUCUUCCUGAGCCUCUGGGAUUACAGGUUCUCUUGCUAUUUGUAAAGUAAAUGGAGCUGAUGAAUCAUCUUCUAGAAACAGAAGAGUGGUGAGUCAUUUCUCUGGGGUUGUAGUUAUCUGCAUUUCUCUCACAUACAGCAUUGAAAAACUGAUUCUCCUUCAGUGGUAACAUAUUUUAUGUCUUCUUUUAUUUCCAAAAAUCCACUUGGCAUUAUGACUGUAUGGGGAAAAAAGAUUCCAACAGA